rnacentral:rRNA from 1 species
GCCUGGCUUUUGUUGGGUUGGAUGAGUGGCGAACGGGUGAGUAACACGUGAGUAACCUGCCCUCUUCUUUGGGAUAACGCCCGGAAACGGGUGCUAAUACUGGAUAUUCACUGAUCUUCGCAUGGGGGUUGGUGGAAAGGUUUGUUCUGGUGGGGGAUGGGCUCGCGGCCUAUCAGCUUGUUGGUGGGGUGAUGGCCUACCAAGGCUUUGACGGGUAGCCGGCCUGAGAGGGUGACCGGUCACAUUGGGACUGAGAUACGGCCCAGACUCCUACGGGAGGCAGCAGUGGGGAAUAUUGCACAAUGGGCGAAAGCCUGAUGCAGCGACGCCGCGUGAGGGAUGGAGGCCUUCGGGUUGUAAACCUCUUUCGCUCAUGGUCAAGCCGCAACUGUGGGUUGUGGUGAGGGUAGUGGGUAAAGAAGCGCCGGCUAACUACGUGCCAGCAGCCGCGGUAAUACGUAGGGCGCGAGCGUUGUCCGGAAUUAUUGGGCGUAAAGGGCUUGUAGGCGGUUGGUCGCGUCUGCCGUGAAAUUCUCUGGCUUAACUGGGGGCGUGCGGUGGGUACGGGCUGACUUGAGUGCGGUAGGGGAGACUGGAACUCCUGGUGUAGCGGUGGAAUG